AACCAUGAUACGGACACAAGCUAAGUAACUUUUUAAAACGUUCUCAUGCUUGAUUCAAAAUCUCACUAUACUUUUGUGUAAAAGUUGAUAUUUGCCUUUUCAAAGCAU